AGUGUUUCCCUUUACGGAGGGGCUCCCUUCUUUGCCAUUGCCUUUGGAGAUUUCUUCAGCAUUUGAGAGCAGACUCUCCAGGUUCCAAUACGGACUCACACCGGUGAUUCAACAAUGAGCUUCCAGGCCUUCAACUGUGCUACUGGAUUCUCCAUGCGGCAUGCAAGACCCCUAAUACAGCUGUACAGCAAGGAAAGAAACCAGCAAGCCCAAGAUUGCUACAUACAACAGCAUGGAUGGAUCUUGAAUGCACAAUGUCUAGUGUAGGAAGCCAGACCUGAGACCUGAGAGCACAUGUGCCUUGUGAUUCCACAUGUGUGAGCUGCAGGGACAGGAGAGAUUUCUUGUAAUAGAAGCCGGAAGGGAAGGGAGCAUGACCCUGAGCAAACCAGCCACUGCUGAAUAAACAGGAACUGAGAAUUCAGCCAACAGAUGCUCCGUCUCUACACCAGGAGUGCAAAGCUAUAUCCAGGUCUCAAGCAACAAGAUGGACAGAGUGCUCAUCAUCUGUGACUAUGGCUCAGGCUUCAGCAAGGUGGGAUUUGCAGGAAAAGAGGCCCUCCUGGCUGUUUUCCCAACCAUCCUCGGGAAACUUGGGCAUGAUGUGAGUGAAGUGGGGCAUCCUCCUUGGGUGCUGUCAGCCCCAACCCUUCUCCCACUGGGCUGGGCAAGGUGGUCCUCUGAGCUGGCCUCAGAGGCAUGGGAGCACCUCCUGGUGACACACAGAGGCCAGGCCCACCCCAGAGUUCUACUUCAGCUGGACUGGGCUGAGGUAAGGACUUGCAGGUCUAGCCACACCCAACUGCCAUUCUGUCAGAGCCUCUGGCUUCUGUGGAGCAGCUGGUGACAGAAGUUAGUGUCUUGGUUUGUUUUGUGCUCUUAGAAG